GUUAGUAAAUAUGUGGUGGUAGUAGUUACACAUCAUCCAUUUAAUUGUCAAAUAGUGUAAGAAAAAUUAGAGCUCUUUUACGUCAUUUAUUCCCCCCUGGAAAUCAUCGCUGCUACCACUACUACUAGGAUAUAGCCGCAAGAUUUUCACUUGUACAAUUGUCUGAAAAAGUAAUGUAUCAGCCCAAUCAUCUUGUGUGGAAAUAUCUAAAUUUGGUCUAUACUUAAUUCAGGGAUAGGUAUUAACUUUCAAUUGCAGGUACAUUUUACAUUCCACUUUUUGAUACUUGGCUAUGGUAAAGGGCAUUUGCAGAGAGGUAGUAUAGGGAUCAAGAUGAAUUUGUCUUUAUCGAUAAGAGUAAAGAGUAUUUGUGGCCUUUAAACCCAAAGGCUCCAACUCUGAGGAGGUAUCUGCCUAUCACUGUUCCCUGAGAUCUGUCACCUGGACACUGUAUCUGGGUUUAAAGGCUGCCCUUUCAGUAAAGAAUUUACUACCUCAUAUUUCCAGAUAAGAGGGUUUUUAUUUCUCUUCAUUUUAUUCUAAUAUCUUAAUAUUUUAACAAACUUUUUUCCCCAAGGAAUGCCUUGUGAAAGAAGUAUUCUAUUUUGAGGGGUUUCUGAAAAUCAUAAUAAUCAGAUUAUGAUUAGUUGAGGGAAGACAGCAAUUCAUAGACAGAUAUUGGGGCCUCCUCUGACUGCUUUGCAGGAAGGUCCUUAGCUUCUUUAUAAGGUUUUAAAGCUCUAAUUUUGUGUGUGGGUAUAGGCCUACCUUGCAAAGAGGAGCACACAAGCAAUAAUAAAAUAAGAAUGAAUAAGGUUAUUAAGUGCAAAGAAGAUAAUGAGAAAGGGAGCCAAAGAAGGUCUGGGUUUCCUUAGCGUGUGUCUGUAGGAUACAGGCAAUGGUAAAUCUGUAUCAAAAAAUCAAGCACAGCAGGAGGUGUUCGUCUCCCAGGUAAUGGGUAAAUGAUGAGCAGAUGAGCCAUCCUUCUAUUGAUUUAAGUAUUUUGUUCCAGCCAGUCACAAUUAACUUUGAUUUGUUUUUACUUUCCUCUUAUAGGUUUGCAUUUAAAACACUCUUGGAGCACCAAUUGUCUAAAAUUCUGAGCUGCAGAAGUCUGCUUCAUGAUUCCUCAGGCCUAGCAUGGGAAUAUAGGGAAACUAACACCUGCUGGGGCAAUUACCUAUGUGGUUUUGGAUUUGAUGACCAGUUUCUUUUGAUUGGAAAUUACUAUGUUAACUCUGACCUGGAAGACAGUGAAUUUAGAAUGCCCUGUUGA
rnacentral:lncRNA from 13 species